CCCAACCAAGCCGCACUGCCUCUUGACACAACACGCAUCCAACCCGGAAGCUAGCCGCACCAAUGUGUCUUGAGCUUGACGCGUGCAGCAAUUACUGUGAACAUUCCUCCAUUCCUGAACCACGAAGGUUCACAGAGCGUGAGAUGCAUCUCACAAAAAACAUAGUGAGAAACGGGAUCCAUGUUAACAGGGCAAAUGCUCGACUAAAAUAUGUAAAAAUCCUGAAAUUCAUCCCACCUUGUCUGCGUUAUAGUAAUAUGCUGGUGCAGACUUGCUGUGCACUUGUUAACCUCCAAAACACACUCAUCAGAGAAGUAGCUGUUGGUUGGGAAACGAGAACAACGAGGCAUGAGGGUUUGGUGUUGAGGGACGAUUUGUCACAUUGUCGAAGGAGUGCCUCCCUCAGACCAUCCGGUGCAUGGACAUCCUGUGCCAGUGUGAUGUGGUCGUGGAGACUACAGUACAUCGAGCCUGUGGACGAACAAACGUGACAUGCGGAACAUCAGGCUCACCCCACGAGAAGUAUGAUCAAUGCCACCCUCAGCAAGGAGAAGUGAUGUCUCUCCCAUCCUGCAUUUACCAGAAACUGAAGCUCCACACAACAAAGGGGAAAUGAGGUGUGGCUUGCGGAACAUCCUGCUCACCCCAUGAGAAGCAGAGCAUGAUCAACGCCACUUGCAGAAAGGAGAUCUUCUGGAAUGGAUGUACUCUCACUCUGGGGGUAGAGGCAGGGAUGACUGGGUUCUUCAGCAAGUAAGACACGGGGUAAGAAAUAAUUUAAACAUCACAGAUAUAAAUUCCCAAUGUGCCCAUGAUAAAGUUAACUACAUUACUUUAGUUGGCUGCUUUCAGCAAAAAUUGUAUGUAAUGUAACCUAUUCUGGGAGACUAGUGUAUGUAUGUACAAUGUGGAAUAUUUUUGGACCAUUGGCUUCCCUGAAAACGGAGACUGACAGGAGGAUCAAUAGGAGUCUGCCAGAGGUCGUCACGCUGGAUGGUGAUGGAGGUUUUGGUGGUCCACACAACGAAGAAGCAGGUGUCCCUUCAAGUGACGUGGAGUUGACCUUGGACCAAGUGCCAGUAAGGAUGGUUCUUCACGGAGGCUGUAAGACCCUUUCUUCUGGAUAUAGAAAUCCUUCAACUUCACUGCCUCUUCAAUGGUAAGGUCCCCUUGCACCAUAGGGGCAUUUGACCUCCACCAAUGCUGUGGUGCCCACCAGACCAUCUGGUGAGGCACCCAGAAUCCCAGAACCCGUGACCCAAAGCCCAGACUCCUGCACAUCCAUCCCUGUAGCCAUUUUGAAUGCCUUGAUGCCCUCUUUAUCUGUGCCCCACUUUACACACAACACCCCAUCCAACGACUGUGAACACCUUGAAAUGUAUGCAUUUUAAGAAAUGUGAUAUAAAAAUUGUUUGAUUUGAUUGACUACAGCUGUAGAAUAUUUAAUAAACUGUAAAGUGCAGUUUUUCCAUAAACUUUUAAUUGAUAACUUGGGAUUUUGUCACUUGACAUAUCAAUCAUACAGUGGGAAGGAUCCUAUAAGUCAAGACUGUGUGGAUGCAUGUACCUCUCCGAAUAAAUAAAUACAAUAAAGUCUGAUGUCUAAACAAAGUCAAUUCUGAAUGUCAAUUAGUUUUGGAUUAAUUCUCAUCAAUUCUAGAACUGAGUUAUCACUAAUCGAAGUCUGGUAUCCGGGGUAAUCUGGUUAUUGAUUAUAUGAUAAAGUGUCUGUUUCCUUAUAGAAUGUUGACAGCUGUAUAGAACAAAUUGUAUUGCUAUGAUGCUCAAACUUAAUAGGUUGCAUGUUCAAAUCCAGCGAUAGAGUUUUGUUUUAAGCCUAUCCCAAACCUUAACCAUUGUGGUAAUGCCUAACCUUAAGUUUGAGUUAAUGACUGAACUUAACCUUAAACACUUCGAAAUUUGACUUUUGAGAAACAUGGAUGAACGUCUACUUCUAACUUGAGACUGUGAGAGCCUGUUGGCUUUUUUUUGCAUGUGACUACUCAUGUUUGUUAAUAACAAAUAAACAUAAAUAAAUGUG